rnacentral:rRNA from 1 species
GUAGGUGGCAAGCGUUGUCCGGGAAUUAUUGGGGCGUAAAGCGCGCGCAGGCGGUUCUUUAAGUCUGAUGUGAAAGCCCACGGGCUCAACCGUGGGAGGGUCAUUGGAAACUGGAGAACUUGAGUACAGAAGAGGAAAGCGGAAUUCCACGUGUAGCGGUGAAAUGCGUAGAGAUGUGGAGGAACACCAGUGGCGAAGGCGGCUUUCUGAUCUGUAACUGACGCUGAGGCGCGAAAGCGUGGGGAGCAAACAGGAUUAGAUACCCUGGUAGUCCACGCCGUAAAUGAUGAGUGCUAAGUGUUAGGGGGUUUCCGCCCCUUAGUGCUGCAGCUAACGCAUUAAGCACUCCGCCUGGGGAGUACGGCCGCAAAGGCUG